rnacentral:rRNA from 1 species
GAUGAACGCUGGCGGCGUGCCUAAUACAUGCAAGUCGAGCGAACGGACGAUAAGCUUGCUUCUUUGAUGUUAGCGGAGGGCGGGUGUGUCACAUGUGGAUACCCCACCUAUCAGACUGGGAUCACUUCGGGACACCGGCGCUAAUAGCGGAUAAUAUUUUGUACCGCAUGGUUCAAAAGUGAAAGACGGUCUUGCUGUCACUACUAGCUGGAUCCGCGCUGGAUUAGCUAGUUGGUAAGGUAAAGGGUUAUCAAGGGAACGAUGCAUAGCCGACCGGAUAGAGGGAUCGGCCACACGGGAACGGAGACACGGACCUGACGCCUGAGGUAGGCAGCAGUAUGGAAUCGUCCGCAGUAGGCGGAAGCCUUACGGAGCAGCGCCACGUGAGUGAUGACAGUCUUCGGAUCGUAAAACUCUGUUAUUAGUUAAAAACAGAUGUGUAAGGAACUGUGCACAUCUUGACGGUACCGAAUCAAAAAGCCACGGCUAACUACGUG